rnacentral:rRNA from 1 species
UACGGAGGGUGCAAGCGUUAAUCGGAAUUACUGGGCGUAAAGCGCACGCAGGUGGCUGAGUAAGUCGAUUGUGAAAGCCCUGGGCUUAACCUGGGAAUUGCAUUCGAUACUGUUCAGCUAGAGUGUGGGAGAGGGAAGUGGAAUUCCCGGUGUAGCGGUGAAAUGCGUAGAGAUCGGGAAGAACAUCGGUGGCGAAGGCGCUCUACUGGACCACAACUGACACUCAGGGACGAAAGCGUGGGGAGCAAACAGG